rnacentral:rRNA from 1 species
UACGUAGGGGGCAAGCGUUAUCCGGAUUUACUGGGUGUAAAGGGAGCGUAGACGGCAUAGCAAGUCUGAAGUGAAAGCCCAAGGCUCAACCAUGGGACUGCUUUGGAAACUGUUAAGCUAGAGUGCUGGAGAGGUAAGCGGAAUUCCUAGUGUAGCGGUGAAAUGCGUAGAUAUUAGGAAGAACACCAGUGGCGAAGGCGGCUUACUGGACAGUAACUGACGUUGAGGCUCGAAAGCGUGGGGAGCAAACAGG